UGGGACGCCCGGGUGCCAAAGCGCAGCCGCAAAGGAGCACGCGUGAGCUCCCGUGCGCGAUGGCGCGCUGGGGCAGGGCAACGUCCACAGGAGUGCCGUGCCUUGCCGUGCCCACAGCCGUGCCUCACGCUGCUCUGCCUGCUGAUGUGCGUGCAGGUGAGCCAUGGCGGAGGAGCACACCUGGGAAUCCCUGGUGGAAGACAACAUCAGUCAGCUGUGCUGUGCAGGAGCUGAUGGAGGUGUGUGAGCCGCCUGCAGAAAUCCCACAGGGCAGAGCUGCUGGGCACAGAGCCGGGGUGCCGCAGGGCUCGCUGCCCUGCUCUGGCCUGGCCUUGCCGUGCUCUGGGGACAGGCUGGGAAUGCCCUUAGCCACCCUGCAUCCACGUAAGUGGUCCCGAUUGCCUUGCAGUGUAAGAAGAGGUCUGCAGAGCUGGUAGAUGCUGUCAGAGAAAAGGCAAAAAUCCGCAAGGUACGGAGGGCGGGAGGGAGAGAAUGGAGAGCAGCGCGUUUAUGGGGGAAGCCCCCUGCGAGCAGGCACAGGGCAGGCUCUUGACCGGACCCUUUCCUUGUCCAGGCACUGAGGGAGGAGGUGGAGGUAGAGAUGAGGAACCUCCAAAAGGCAAGAGAGAACACCAAAAGGCGCACUGCCCUGUGUUUGAGGCCCCAGCACAGUCCAGACCCGAGGCAGAGGGGAGCUGGGAUGCCAGCAGCCCCCAGGCAUCUGUGCCACCAGCUGGAGCUCGGGAAGGCCAGGCCUGUGCAGGGCUGGCACCAAGAGGUGCCUGUCCCACUCCAGCAGAAGCCGGGCAGCUGCCUCGGGUCCCUGUGGCCACACUGGGGGGGAAGAGGUCCCAGUGCCGGCCAAGGCCUUUUCUCACACACCAAAGUCCUGGUGUCUGUAACAGCAGGAAGGUGAUGCAGGGAAGAGCACAUCAGUUCCCUGAUGCACAAGACAGUGGCUGUGCGGCUGGAUGAGCAGAUGGCAGCACAGAGCCAUCCACACACAGCCUGGCUGCGGAGGUUUCUGCUGUUCCUGGGCCUGCUGCAGCUUGUCUUCUUCAUCCUGGUCCUGCUGAAGAGGGACAUCUUCCACGAGGUCCUGCCUGUAGAGCUGGUGACUGCCCUUGGCAGCCAUCCACCAAAACCUGCUGUUUUCUGACCCCAGAACACACUGCAGCCCUUCAUCAUUGGGUCUGCACAGGCAUUAGGGGUGCCUGCCUUGUCACCAAUAACAUCAAUAAAAUCCAUCCCAAUUCCA
rnacentral:lncRNA from 1 species